rnacentral:rRNA from 1 species
AUAUUGCACAAUGGGCGCAAGCCUGAUGCAGCCAUGCCGCGUGUGUGAAGAAGGCCUUCGGGUUGUAAAGCACUUUCAGCGGGGAGGAAGGCGUUAAGGUUAAUAACCUUGGCGAUUGACGUUACCCGCAGAAGAAGCACCGGCUAACUCCGUGCCAGCAGCCGCGGUAAUACGGAGGGUGCAAGCGUUAAUCGGAAUUACUGGGCGUAAAGCGCACGCAGGC